CGGAAAAAGCGGAAUUCAUACAAUAAAAGAUAUUUGGGAUGAAGAAACGAAAAACAUCAAAAGCGACAACUUUAUAUACAAUACUCUUAAAGAUAAAAGAAACUGGAUCUCGGAAUGGACAAGGCUGAAAUUAGCUAUUCCAAAAUUGUUCAAGGACAGACUAAAAAACGUCCACGUUGAUCCAGAACCCCCCAACAAUGGUUAUUACAUUAAAAAUACAUUUGAAUUCUACAAUAAACAGAA
rnacentral:lncRNA from 1 species